rnacentral:rRNA from 1 species
UUACGGGAGGCAGCAGUGGGGAAUAUUGCACAAUGGGGGAAACCCUGAUGCAGCGACGCCGCGUGAGCGAUGAAGGCCUUCGGGUCGUAAAGCUCUGUCUUAAGGGAAGAUAAUGACGGUACCUUAGGAGGAAGCCCCGGCUAACUACGUGCCAGCAGCCGCGGUAAUACGUAGGGGGCGAGCGUUGUCCGGAAUUACUGGGCGUAAAGGGUGCGUAGGCGGCCUUGUAAGUCAGAUGUUAAAGCCCUCGGCUUAACCGAGGUAAGCAUUUGAAACUGCAGGGCUUGAGUACAGGAGAGGAGAGUGGAAUUCCUAGUGUAGCGGUGAAAUGCGUAGAUAUUAGGAAGAACACCAGUGGCGAAGGCGACUCUCUGGACUGUAACUGACGCUGAGGCA